AAAUCUUUAUUAAAAGUAUAUAAUUUUUUAAUUAAAAUAUUAACCCCAUGAUAAAAUUAAUUUAUGAGAGUUAUACCAAUUUAAUUCAUUAAAAAAAUAAAGUUUAAUUUUUUAAACAUAAAUAGUCAUUUAAAAUGAAAUACGAUAAAUAAAGAUAAAUUUUUUAAGUCUUUUAUAAAAUAAAACACAAAUAUAUGAAAAUGUGAUAUUUACUAAAUAUUUGUCAAUUGAAAAAAAAAAAAAAUAAACCCGCGCUUUGAAAGCGCGGAUCAAAAUCUAGUUCAUUCUUGUAGUUAAACUUUUUCAUAUCUUUUUAUUUUUAGAGAGAGCAUAUCUUUCUUGUUAGCCAAAAAAAAAAAGAAAGAAAAAGAACAUAUCCUUCUUGUGUCCAAUUGUUUUAUCCCUUUUCAUCUUCACUGUUCCGGAGAGAUUCGGCUAUAAGCGUAUAUCAUUAAAGCACUUUGAACUUUAAAUUAUUGCACACAACAAUAGCAAGUUUAAUUUUCUUUAGCAUGUAUUCAUUCACUCCAAGUAGGACGAUUAGUAUCUUUCCUGUGUAAUAAAGAUUAGUUACUUUCAUCAUACAACUUUCCUCUGUGACUAUCUCAGUAUGAGGAAUUAUCAGUUUUCUAACUUGAUCGAUUAAGUCUCGCGUAGUCGCGUGCCUUUAUGAGAAAACACUCACGCUAGAACCAGUGGCUCUCAA
rnacentral:lncRNA from 1 species